AACGUAGGAGACAAACGUUAUCCGGAAUUACUGGGCGUAAAGCGUGCGCAGGCGGUCUUGCAAGACAGAUGUGAAAUCCCCGGGCUCAACCUGGGAACUGCAUUUGUGACUGCAAGGCUGGAGUGCGGCAGAGGGGGAUGGAAUUCCGCGUGUAGCAGUGAAAUGCGUAGAUAUGCGGAGGAACACCGAUGGCGAAGGCAAUCCCCUGGGCCUGCACUGACGCUCAUGCACGAAAGCGUGGGGAGCAAACAGG
rnacentral:rRNA from 1 species